AAAAAAAAAAAAUGAAAAAAAGGAACAUCCUUUUAGAUAUUGUGAGAGGGCUACCCAUGAAGAACUGAAAAUCAAGAAUUCAAAUUUCCAUUAACAAUGAACAUUUGUUGGAUUUCUCCUUCCUAUUUCCCACAAAUUAAAGCUUCAAUUUUGGAACCCAGAACCAAAAUUCAACCAAUUAGCUCAAAAUCAGAUUUCCCAACUGAAAAAAUUGAAUCUUUUUUGCCCUUUAAUGUGAAAUCCAUCACUAGUACUUCAAACCCUUUUGUGGGUGGGGUGGGGGGAGGGGGAGGGGCGGAAGCCAAACCCCUCUGCGGGAUUAUAUUGUUAAAAUUAUUUUUUAUGUAUAUAUAGUAGAUACUGAAUGACCUUUGAUUUUUUCGUGUAUUUACUUUUUCCGUGUGUUUUGUGGUAUAAUUUAGCCAUUUCAUGUUCUUAACUUGGUGGCUGUAGUCUUUGUUGAUUGUGGUUAGCUUAAUAGUUUAGCUUGAGCCUCACAUUUUAAUGCCAAAUUGUUAGAUUUUGAAGCCAUUUGGCUUAAUGUUGAGUUACAACUUAGAAGAUUAUUCCAUUCCCCUUUGGGAUAUUAACACGCGGAAUUCUUGCAAAUUGGUGGAGCACAGUGUAGAUCAUACUUAGGUCCGUAGGGGCUCAGUUUUUUUCUUUGAUACAUUGCAUAAUCUUGAAAUACUUGAGCAAGUAAUAGAACAGAUGAUUGAAAUGAGUAGUGAUGUAGUGAGAAAAGACGGAGUAAUUGAUCUUAAAAUACUUAACUUUUUGGGAGAAAUCAUGAUUUGCAUUGUGCUUUUCAUGUUUCCAAUUGAAUGUCUAUAAUGGACUAUAUAUCAACGGGAGAAAUCAGAAGACGCGGACAAUAUUGAAUCUUGAAGGGACAACUUCAUAUGUGUACAUUUGGAAUGGCCUAAGCUCUGUUGUUUUAGUUUAAGAAGCUCAUUUUCAUUUUCAUCUUUUAUGAUCUAUAAAUGUGGUGAUUUUCUGCUGAGUAUUUUCUUCCGAGCUAUGUCCUUUCUUAUGCACUCCCUUGUGAACUGUUGGUUUGUUAUUUUUUGCACUUGUUCAUAUUCUUUACUCAUUCUUCCUUGAGGUUGGUCGUAGAGGGUUUGAGGAGGGGUAAAGGUAGGCCUAAGAUGUAUGUAGGCAAGACAUAGCGCAGCUUCAACUCACCGAGGAUAUGAUCUUUGAUAGGAGGGUGUGGAGAUCGAGCAUUAUGAUAGAAGGUUAGUAGGUAGUUGAGUGCUUUGCUUUCCCGUUCCCGGAGUAUUAGUAUUAGUCUCCAUUAUUGUAUUUUCUUCUUAUUGUUCCUACUUGCUGCUACUGUCGUUUUUUUCAUCUGUUUUGAGCCAAGGGUCUAUCGAAACCAACCUAUCUAGCUUUUCAAGGUAGGGAUAGGUCGGCGUACACAUGACCCUCCCUAGACCCCACUUUUGGGAUUAUACAAUUCUUUUUGGUUUGUCAUUUGACGAUUUGAUCUUUGAUGAGGUAUGCAAUUCCCUUUUUCUUUCUGUUGACUGUUGUUUUCCCUUAAACAAUUGUCAAACUGACUUCAUACCAUUUUCAUGUCCUCUCUCACAAUAUGUUUCUGCAGUGCAACGCUGUUUCAUUCUCUGCUGAUAGCAGAUUAUUGGCCUCUGCAUCUGAAGAUACAACAGUGGCUCUCUGGGAACUUUAUCCUCCUAAAACAUGACGUUGUAUCGUUGUUAAUCCUCUUCUAAGUUAGUUCUUUAGACAACAAUGAACCUCUAUACGAACAUUGGUUUGUAGGUUAUGGUUUUUACCUGUCUUAAUCCUCGCGGAUUGUCUGUAAUGAAGGGGUUAAUGUCUGAAGUUUUGCAGCGCGGAGAAGUAAUCCCCAGAUGAGCAUAUGGAGUUUGCUGGAAGAUAUUACUGAUCAUCAGAAAGAGAAGAGGACUUUAAGCUAUUUUUGGGAAAUACACUUUGUUCCGGCCUUCCCCAAACCUUGCAUAUAGUGAGAGCUUAGUGCAUUGAACUAUCUCGUCUUUUGAGUUGUUAGAAAGAAACAUAGUUGUGAAAGUACUAAAAAAGAACUCUACUUGUAACCCUUAAACAAGAAGAAUUGUUAUAUCAAGCUCUUCAUUUACAUUUUGCUGCCAUUUUUUGAGUUAAUACCUUAAAAUUCUCCUAAACUAUCAAGGCUUUUAUUAAGUUUAAUAUUUAAAUUAUGGAGUAUUGUUAUUAUUCAUGAACUAUAACAUUUUCCAUUUAAAAACUCUUGUAACGCAAGGUUGCAUAAAUUACAACACCUUAUUAAAAACGAAUAAUUUAAGAGCAAUUUCGACCAUAUUCUAAAUAUUUCAUUAAUUACAAAUAAAAAAACAAAAAAUAGUGAAAAUUUGUGUUAUCUACAAAAAUUGUCUUUGUUCAAUCUAUAGUUUACAGAGUUGAGUCACGGAAGCAUCCAUUAAUACUCGUAGUAUUAUUAGAGUAGACUUUCUACGUCACUACCUCGGAGUUUUGGACCAAAAAGAAUAAUAUGAAAAAAAGGAACAUCCUUUUAGAUAUUGUGAGAGGGCUACCCAUGAAGAACUGAAAAUCAAGAAUUCAAAUUUCCAUUAACAAUGAACAGUUGUUGGAUUUCUCCUACCUAUUUCCCACAAAUUAAAGCUUCAAUUUUGGAACCCAAAACCAAAAUUCAACCAAUUAGCUCAAAACCAGAUUUCCCAACUGAAAAAAUUGAAUCUUUUUUGCCCUUUAAUGUGAAAUCCAUCACUAGUACUUCAAACCCUUUUGUCAAACACUGCCUUAAGCUUCGCCAGAACUCCUCUUAUCGCCAUUCUCAUGGUUCUGUAAUUGUUGUCGGUUCUUAUGUAUAUAUAGUAGAUACUGAAUGACCUUUUUGACUUUUUCGUGUAUUUACUUUUUCCGUGUGCUUUAUGGUAUAAUUUAGCCAUUUCAUGUUCUUAACUUGAUGGCUGUAGUCUUUGUUGAUUGUGGUUAGCUUAAUAGUUUAGCUUGAGCCUCACAUUUUAAUGCUAAAUUGUUAGAUUUUGA
rnacentral:lncRNA from 1 species